rnacentral:rRNA from 1 species
GUAGGGGGCAAGCGUUGUCCGGAAUUAUUGGGCGUAAAGCGCGCGCAGGCGGUCUCUUAAGUCCGAUGUGAAAGCCCACGGCUCAACCGUGGAGGGUCAUUGGAAACUGGGGGACUUGAGUGUAGGAGAGGAAAGUGGAAUUCCAUGUGUAGCGGUGAAAUGCGUAGAUAUGUGGAGGAACACCAGUGGCGAAGGCGACUUUCUGGCCUACAACUGACGCUGAGGUGCGAAAGCGUGGGGAGCAAACAGGGAUUAGAUACCCUGGUAGUCCACGCCGUAAACGAUGAGUGUUAGGUGUUAGGGGUUUCGAUGCCCCUUAGUGCCCGAAGUUAACACAUUAAGCACUCCGCCUGGGGGAGUACGACCGCAAGGUUG